rnacentral:tRNA from 1 species
UCCAGGGUAGCCUAGUGGACAUGGCAUCUGCCCGGUAAGCGAAAGUUGUGGGUUCGAUUCCCGCCCCUGGAC